rnacentral:rRNA from 1 species
UGGGGAAUAUUGGGCAAUGGGCGAAAGCCUGACCCAGCAAUGCCGCGUGUGUGAAGAAGGCCUGAGGGUUGUAAAGCACUUUCAAUUGGGAGGAAAAAGGCGAGGCCAAUACCCUUGCCCUUGACAUUACCUUUAGAAGAAGCACCGGCUAACUCCGUGCCAGCAGCCGCGGUAAUACGGAGGGUGCGAGCGUUAAUCGGAAUUACUGGGCGUAAAGCGUGCGUAGGCGGCGCGUUAAGUCAGGCGUGAAAGCCCCGGGCUCAACCUGGGAAUUGCGCUUGAUACUGGCGCGCUAGAGUUUGGUAGAGGGAAGCGGAAUUUCAGGUGUAGCGGUGAAAUGCGUAGAGAUCUGAAGGAACACCCGUGGCGAAGGCGGCUUCCUGGACCAAAACUGACGCUG